rnacentral:rRNA from 1 species
CAGUAGCCGCGGUAAUACGUAGGGUGCGAGCGUUAAUCGGAAUUACUGGGCGUAAAGCGGGCGCAGACGGUUACUUAAGCAGGAUGUGAAAUCCCCGGGCUCAACCUGGGAACUGCGUUCUGAACUGGGUGACUAGAGUGUGUCAGAGGGAGGUAGAAUUCCACAUGUAGCAGUGAAAUGCGUAGAGAUGUGGAGGAAUACCGAUGGCGAAGGCAGCCUCCUGGGAUAACACUGACGUUCAUGCCCGAAAGCGUGGGUAGCAAACAGGAUUAGAUACCCCGGUAGUCCCUGUCUCUUAUAC